GAGUUGGUAGUUCAGUGGUAGAGUGCAUGCUUUGUAUGUAUGAUGUCCUGGGUUCAAUACCCAGAAUUUG
rnacentral:tRNA from 1 species